AUUGAACGCUGGCGGCAGGCCUAACACAUGCAAGUCGAGCGGAGCGGCGGACGGGUGAGUAAUACCUAGGAAUCUGCCUGAUAGUGGGGGAUAGCGUUAGGAAACGGACGCUAAUCCCGCAUCCUAUCAGAUGAGCCUAGGUCGGAUUAGCUAGUUGGUGGGGUAAUGGCUCACCAAGGCUCCGAUCCGUAACUGGGCUGAGAGGAUGCUCAGUCACACUGGAACGGAGACACGGUCCAGACUCCGACGGGAGGCAGCAGUGGGUAAUAUUGGAAAAUGGGCGAAAGCCGGAUCCAGCCAUGCCGCGUGUGUGAAGAAGGUCUUCGGAUUGUAAAGCACGUUAAGUUGGGAGGCGUUACCGACAGAAUAAGCACCGGCUAACUCUGUGCCAGCAGCCGCGGUAAUAC
rnacentral:rRNA from 1 species